AUGAACUCCAUUUUUCACUAUUUAUCUUCUCCAUAACCCUGCAUUACAUUUUCCCUUUUUUGUACUCAAGAAAGAAUCUAAAUUAGAAGUACCACAAAUACUCUACUUUUCAACUUUCCCUUUGAAUUCGACCCCAUCUUCCUUUCCUCACCACAAACUGUCUCUGCAACACUCUUACAAUUCUUUCUCGAUCCCUCGUCACUCUUCCUAACACCAAACACAAAUUCCACACCACCACUCCUAAUUCCCCCCAUCAAAUCUCCACCACACAUUCAAAGGCGCAAAAGUGUUCUUGCUUCACUUCUCAUCCUUUUUUAUUUUGUUCUGUUUGGUUCAAAGUUCAUUUCUCUCACUUUCUUCCCCAUAAGUUUUGUUCUCUUUGGCUUCUCUUGUGUUUUGCAUAUGUUUCAGUUAGGGUUUAUUGGAUGGUUUUGUAGACGGCGUAAACUCGAACGACGGUGGGCUUUCGUUUAUUGUGCGGGCUUUCAUAGACAUAAACAUCCAUUUGAACAUGGACAUGUGACUCAUGCCAAAUGCAGUUUGAAAUAGUGGGGCAUCUUAAUUUGGUUUAAGUGGUGUGCCAAAUCAUGAAUUGUGUUUGCCACUUAACGAGAAGGUUCCAAAUGUGCAAUGUAGUGGUUUUGCAUGAAGAGGAUGUACCCAUACAACCAAACUUGUAAGUGGAGGAACUAUGUAUUAUAUGAUUUCCAGUAGUAUGAUGUUGUGAUGUUAUCUUGAAAUGGUUAUCCUAUGUUGGCAUAUAUGAUUGUGGGGUUAUGGUCAUGAAGUAUAUCCAAAUGUGGGAUGAUAAUCACAUAUAUAAUGGCAAAAGCAUCCAUGUAUACACAUUUGUAAUUAGAUUGACAAUUAUGUUUAAUUUGAGGGUUUUAUUUUUUUUCACUAUAUUGGACGUCCUAAUGACUUCACCUAGUAACACUUCAUAAACACCUACAAGAAAUAAGGAACAAUGCAUUUGUGAUUGGAUUAUGGACGAAGAUAAUCUCCACAAAGACUUUGUACUCAAGCAUUUUACUUUUAAUAGUCCUAGCCAAUGAUGCAAAUAGUUUGUAGUCUCUGAUAGUCUUGUGUUUUGGUAAAAUGUUUAUGUUUAAUGCAACACAAGUUUUUCUUUGUUUAUUGUAGUCGCUAAUACAUAAUUGAGGAUGAUAUUUGAUAUGGUUAUUGCAAUUGGAUAUUGUUGUUUAUGAAUUUAUGGGAAAAUAUUCACUUUUGCGAAGUACUUAAAUUGAAUAUAGUGUUCUACAUUAUUUAUAUUUGACAAAGUAAAUACAAAAUGUCACCCACCAACAAUACAUAAUGAAUAUGAAUAUGUUUGACACUUAAUUAUUGGGUUUGUCACUUAAUUACAUUCUGUUUGGCAUAUAAUUAUUGAAAAGAUUUUACAGUGUUUUUUACACAUCAUGUUAAAAUAAAAUAACAGGGAAACCCACACCCCACAACCUUUCCUGAAUUUCACCAUGCAGUUGUCAUCCACCCCAAACACAGAUUGAAAUAGAUAAUGAAAUUGAAUGUUUGAACUAUUGUUCAAAAAGUCUGACUAUUUUUGCCACUUAAAUACAUUAUGUUUGGUACGUAAUUAUUGGAAAGAUUUUAG